AGCUGCAGCGGCCACCUGGAGAGCAGUGAAGCCAGUGCGCCGCCCACCUGGAAAGGUUAGCCGGGCAAGAGUGUGCGUUGCCAAUGCCAGCUCAGGAAAGGCCUAGUGGCCUUUGGAAGGUGACAGAGGCGCGGCCACAGUCUCAGAAGUGUCAAAAGUAGUUUUGGAUCUAGUGUUGCACACUUUCCAUUUCUACGGUAGCAGCAAUAAUAUAGUUCAUGAAAGGCUUUAAUAGACAUUCUUUCAUUUGAUCGUUGCAACAACUCUCUGGGUUGGAGGAACUGAAGCUCAGCGACUUAGAUGACUUUGCCAGGGUCACACAUUAGCAACGGGGGAACUGAAUUUAGGGUUUUUUUUUUUGAGGGGGAGGGAGGGGGUGUAUCCGUGUUGUUUUCACAACACUGAUUGUCCCUUAACAAUAUUACUUGAUUACUUCAAGAUUGUCCAGUUUCCCAAGGCCAAUUGUUUUGUUUGUUUUAGCUUUCUAUUUGGAAAUAAUUUCAUACUUAGACCAGUUGCCAACAAAAAUCUUGUAAGGAAUAUUUCUAUGCCCUUUACUCAGAUUCAACUAUCCUUAACAUGUAUUUGCCUCUCAUGGGAAAAUCAGGAAAAACUAAACAAAAAGACAUUUUACCCCAUUUGCUUUGUCAUUUGCUCAGAUUCUCUCUAGAUCCAAAGAAAAACAAGAGGGUUCUUUUUGCCUUCUACUCCUCAAAACACACCAGCAGCUCAGCAAUUGGAGGGGAGGCUGAAGGACAAAAACAUUGCUAUCCCAUAGAGCAACGGUAUAAGAGCCAAUAGAGACUCCUGGCGCUGGAAGUCACGGAUCCGAAAGAAGGCGCCCAAUCAUUUGGUUUCUUUGGAUCGUUAUUGAGUCUUCUGUCAUCAUAGUUCACCCUCCUACUCGAAUGCCUCCCGUGGGGCCCUUACCCUUGCUCUCCUCUGCCUGGAAUGCCCGCCUCUUCUUGCAUUCAAGCCCCUGGGUUCUAUUCAGGUAACUCCCAUUCAUCCUUCAGUUCUGUGUUCAACAUCCAUUCUCACUCAGUCUUUCUGGGUUUGAUCAAUCCUUCCUCGCCCCAUGCAGGGGCGAGAGGCAAGGGGCGAAGCAGGAUUACUUAUCCUCUGUGUUCCAGUUUAAAAAUUUUUUUUUUUACUUUUUUUUGAGACGGAGUCUCGAUCUGUCGCCCAGGCUGGAGUGCAGUGGUGCGAUCUCGACUCACUGCAACCUCCACCUCCAGGGUUCACUCCAUUCUCCUGCCUCAGCCUCCCGAGUAGCUGGGACGGCAGGCGCCCGCCACAACGGCCGGCUAAUUUUUUGUAUUUUUGGUAGAGACGGGGUUUCACCAUGUUAGCCAGGAUGGUCUCGAUCUCCUGACUUGGUGAUCCGCCCGCCUCGGCCUCCCAAAGUGCUGCGAUUACAGGCGUGAGCCACCACGCCCGGCCAAAUUUUUCCUUUUAUAUGCUUUAUUUUUUAGAGCAGUUUUAGGUUCGCAGCAAAACUUAGCAGAAAGUAUAGAGCAUUUCACCUGCCUUCCCCACUAUUGACACCCCACAUUAAAGUUGUACUUUAAUUAUAAUCUGUUAACCUACAUUGACACCACAGUAUUACCCAAAGUCCAUAGUUUACAUUAAGGUUCACUCUAGGUGUUGUGUCUUCUACGGGUUUUGACAAAUAUAUAAUGACGUAUAAUGUCCACCCGCCUCAACCUCCCAAAGUGCUGGUAUUGAAGGCGUGAGCCACUGCACCUGGCGGUCAGAAUGGUUUCUUUUACUCAAAUAUGCAUUUAAGGUUCUUCCAUGUUUUUUUCAUGGGUUGGGAUCUCAUUUUAUUUUAGCCCUGAAUAAUAUUGCAUUGUCUGGAUGUACUAGUUUAUUUAUUCAGUCACCUACUAAGUGACAUCUUGAUUGCGUCCAAGUUUUGGUAUGAAUAUAACUGCUACUAACAUCUGUGUGCAGAUUUUUGAGUGGACGUAAGUUGUUUUUGUUUUUCGUUUGUUUGUUUGUUUUUUGAGACGGAGUCUUGCUUUGUUGCCCAGGCUGGAGUGCGGUGGCGCCAUCUAGGCUCACUGCAAGCUCCGCCUCCCGGGUUCACGCCAUUCUCCUGCCUCAGCCUCCCAAGUAGCUGGGACUAUAGGCGCCCGCCACCAGGCCUGGCUAAUUUUUUGUAUUUUUAGUACAGACGAGGUUUCACCAUGUUAGCCAGGAUGGUCUCGAUCUCCUGACCUCGUGAUCCACCCUCCUCGGCCUCCCAAAGUGCUGGGAUUACAGGCGUGAGCCACUGUGCCCGGCUGAGUGGACAUAAGUUUUAAACUCAUUUGGGUGAAUACCAAGGAGCAAGACUGUUGGAUCAUAUAGUAUGUUUACUUUUGUAAGAAACCGCCAAACUGUCUUCCAAAGCUGCUCUACCAUUUUGCAUUCCCAUCAGCAAUCCUCACAAGCAUUUGGUGUUGUCAGUUUUUAAAAAAAUUGUAGCCAUCCUAUUAGGUGUGUAGUGGUAACUCAUUGUUUUUUGAUUUGCAGUUCUCUAAUGACAUAUGAUAUUGAGUAUCUUUUUCUGUGAUUAUAAUCUGUAUAACUUCUCUGUUGAGGUAUCUGUUCAGGUAUUUUGCCUAGUUUUUGUUUUGUUUUGUUUUUUGAGAUAGGGUCUUACUAUGUUACCCAGGCUGGAGUGCACUGGUGUGAUCAUAGCUCACUGUAACCUCAAACUCCUGAGCUCGGGCAAUUCUGCCUCAGCUUCCCAAGUAGCUAGGACUGUAGGUGUGAGCCACUGUGCCCAGCUAAUUUUUUUAUUUUUUAUUUUUUGUAGAGAUGGGAUCUCACUAUGUUUCCAAGGCUCAUCUUAAACUCUUG
rnacentral:lncRNA from 1 species